CCUGGCCAGGGCCAGAUAUGUCUAUAUCACCUCUGCUACUCAUGGGCAGUCUUGCCUCCACCACAGCUGUAAGGCCAUAGCAAGUACCCGGCUACGGUUAUGGAACAUCUGCUGCUCACCUAGCAGGAUGCCAAGUACUGUGUUAGAUCCAAAGAAGUCAGAGUUCCUCAGCUUCAAGAGGUUACAAUCAGCCCUAUAAAUAAUCAAGAUUUGACCUUUCAAUGAGGCCAAGUCCUUUAGCACGGUCCUGUGUCCAGGGAGAGCACAGGACACAGGAUGGUGCUGGACUUUGGAAGACCUUAUCACUGUUAUUGAAAAGAACAUUUUGGUCAGAGAUAAAUAAUGGAGUGUUUCCACUUUCUCGUUUGGAAAGCUACUUAGAAAAGAAGGAAGUGAGUGAGCAAGGGUUGAUGGUGAUGUGAUGGAUGAGAAAAGGCUUCUCUCUAUGCUGCAGUGGCCCAGAAACGGCAACAGUCACACAUGUAGUGCUCGUUAGUGCUAGUGGGAGUUGAAUCUGGCAUCCAGAGAAGAACAUGCCCUUGGAGUUGUACUUCCCUCUGUGGACAAAUUGACAUUGAGGAAACCUUUGCCAUAAAUAAUCCCUGCUAUUCAAGAGAACAUUUAUCCUCUUGCUGCAGAGUGAAGACAAAAGAGUCAACGAAGUUUUCAGGAGGCGAUCACAGACUCUGGGAGCUCUCUUUAGGAAGAUUAAGAAAGGCACAACAGGCAUCAGAACCAUAAUGAUGGAUAAAACAAAUAAAGAGGUGUUGAGUUGCUGAAACUUGCAAUGGCUGUGUAAUAGUCCAUUCACACACUGCUAUGAAGAAAUAUCUGAGACUGGGUAGUUUACAAAGAAAAAAGGUUUAAUUGGCUCCCGGUUCUGCAGGCUGUACAGAAA
rnacentral:lncRNA from 1 species